UACGAAGGGGGCUAGCGUUGCUCGGAAUCACUGGGCGUAAAGCGCACGUAGGCGGACUCUUAAGUCGGGGGUGAAAUCCUGGAGCUCAACUCCAGAACUGCCUUCGAUACUGGCGAUCUUGAGUCCGGAAGAGGUGAGUGGAACUCCUAGUGUAGAGGUGGAAUUCGUAGAUAUUAGGAAGAACACCAGUGGCGAAAGGCG
rnacentral:rRNA from 1 species